AUGGAGGAGAUGGAAGAUUUGUCUGAUAAUUCUAUUUCUAGAUCUAGCCACAGCCAGAAUGGCAUGACCAUGGAGGCCGUAGAGUAUAGAGAAGAUGUAGGGAUGCCUGAGGAGAUACGCAUACUUGUAGAGGAGUUUGAGGCGGAAUCCCUCGAGAUGCGAAUGAAGAUCCAUAGGCUCCCUGCGAGCUUGGCUGAUAUGGGAGAUCAGUUCGUCAUCCCGAUGGCACUGGCCAUUGGCCCUUACCACCACGGCUUGCCCCGCCUCCAGGGGAUGGAGAAGGUGAAGCGCGUGGCUGCCUACACCUUCACCAGGGACUCAGGCCAUUCAUAUGAGGAGAUGUAUGGGCGGGUCCUCGCCGUCGCGGAUCAGGCCCGCCGACUAUAUGCCGCCGCUGCGGUGUCAGGUAGCCCACAAGAGUUUGCAGAUAUGAUGUUUCACGAUGCCUGCUUCUUGCUGCAGUAUAUGAAAUUGUGUUCACUCAGCGAAGAAGAAAAAGAGUAUGAGACCUAUCUGUCGCCGCUGGAACGAUUCUUCCUCUCCAACAAAGCUUGCAUUGAUAAUGACAUCAUGCUGCUGGAAAAUCAGCUCCCCUGGUUGGUCAUUGAAGCUCUGAUGACCGCCACUGAAGUAGACGUGGACGCGUUCAUUGGAAAUAUGGGGAAUUCAAUGGGCGUCAAGUCUUCGUCUUCCAAUGCCUUUGGUUACAUCAACAUGGCGCCAUCAGACCGACCACCACACAUUCUCGGCCUCCUCCUACUGCACAAACAAGGACAGUUGAUCAACCAACUGCCUGGACAGUUGGCAGUAUCGGCAACUGUUAGCGCCGUGGAACUUGAAGGAAUCGGCAUCAAACUAGAACAUAGUGAAACUGACAAGUUUACUGACAUGGGAGUCAAGAGAGGAGCCUUUUCCUACAAGAUGUUCAUGUCGCCACUAAAUCUGGACCGCACAAGGGCAACCUGGCUCACCAAUAUGGUGGCUUUUGAGGUAUGCACGGCCUUACCUGGCUCCAAGAAUACUGAGGAUACUUACAUGUGCUCCUACAUCGCCAUCCUCGCGAUGCUCAUGCAUCGGGAGGAGGACGUGCACAAGCUGCGAUCGGAGGGUUUCAUACAUGGAGAGCUAUCCGACAAGCAAAUUCUCCAAUUCUUCAACCAACUUGCCCAGCAAAUGACUCCUGGUCGCCGCUACUUCGAAAUCUUAAUCGAUAUUGAACAUUGUAAGUUUAAUAGGCGGUUACGGAUUAUGGUGCACAAGUUUGUUUCUAACAAUGCUAAAGCCAUCGCCGCCGUGCUCUCCAUCAUUGGUGUUCUUGUGGGGAUCUUCAAGGCGCUCUAUUCUCUCAAGCAACACUAG
rnacentral:rRNA from 1 species